GGGUUGUGAGGUUAAGCGACUAAGCGUACACGGUGGAUGCCCUGGCAGUCAGAGGCGAUGAAGGACGUGCUAAUCUGCGAAAAGCGUCGGUAAGGUGAUAUGAACCGUUACAGCCGGCGAUGUCCGAAUGGGGAAACCCAGUGCAAUUCGUUGCACUAUCGUUAACUGAAUACAUAGGUUAACGAGGCGAACCGGGGGAACUGAAACAUCUAAGUACCCCGAGGAAAAGAAAUCAACCGAGAUUCCCCCAGUAGCGGCGAGCGAACGGGGAGCAGCCCAGAGUCUGAAUCAGCUUGUGUGUUAGUGGAACGGUCUGGAAAGUCCGACGGUACAGGGUGAUAGUCCCGUACACCAAAAUGCACAGGUUGUGAACUCGAAGAGUAGGGCGGGACACGUGGUAUCCUGUCUGAAUAUGGGGGGACCAUCCUCCAAGGCUAAAUACUCCUGACUGACCGAUAGUGAACCAGUACCGUGAGGGAAAGGCGAAAAGAACCCCGGCGAGGGGAGUGAAAAAGAACCUGAAACCGUGUACGUACAAGCAGUGGGAGCACCUUCGGGUGUGACUGCGUACCUUUUGUAUAAUGGGUCAGCGACUUAUAUUCUGUAGCAAGGUUAACCGUAUAGGGGAGCCGCAGGGAAACCGAGUCUUAACUGGGCGUUAAGUUGCAGGGUAUAGACCCGAAACCCGGUGAUCUAGCCAUGGGCAGGUUGAAGGUUGGGUAACACUAACUGGAGGACCGAACCGACUAAUGUUGAAAAAUUAGCGGAUGACUUGUGGCUGGGGGUGAAAGGCCAAUCAAACCGGGAGAUAGCUGGUUCUCCCCGAAAGCUAUUUAGGUAGCGCCUCGUGAACUCAUCUUCGGGGGUAGAGCACUGUUUCGGCUAGGGGGUCAUCCCGACUUACCAACCCGAUGCAAACUACGAAUACCGAAGAAUGUUAUCACGGGAGACACACGGCGGGUGCUAACGUCCGUCGUGAAGAGGGAAACAACCCAGACCGCCAGCUAAGGUCCCAAAGUCAUGGUUAAGUGGGAAACGAUGUGGGAAGGCACAGACAGCCAGGAUGUUGGCUUAGAAGCAGCCAUCAUUUAAAGAAAGCGUAAUAGCUCACUGGUCGAGUCGGCCUGCGCGGAAGAUGUAACGGGGCUAAACCAUGCACCGAAGCUGCGGCAGCGACACUAUGUGUUGUUGGGUAGGGGAGCGUUCUGUAAGCCUGCGAAGGUGUGCUGUGAGGCAUGCUGGAGGUAUCAGAAGUGCGAAUGCUGACAUAAGUAACGAUAAAGCGGGUGAAAAGCCCGCUCGCCGGAAGACCAAGGGUUCCUGUCCAACGUUAAUCGGGGCAGGGUGAGUCGACCCCUAAGGCGAGGCCGAAAGGCGUAGUCGAUGGGAAACAGGUUAAUAUUCCUGUACUUGGUGUUACUGCGAAGGGGGGACGGAGAAGGCUAUGUUAGCCGGGCGACGGUUGUCCCGGUUUAAGCAUGUAGGCUGGUUGUCCAGGCAAAUCCGGAUAAUCAAGGCUGAGGUGUGAUGACGAGGCACUACGGUGCUGAAGUAACAAAUGCCCUGCUUCCAGGAAAAGCCUCUAAGCAUCAGGUAACAUUAAAUCGUACCCCAAACCGACACAGGUGGUCAGGUAGAGAAUACCAAGGCGCUUGAGAGAACUCGGGUGAAGGAACUAGGCAAAAUGGUGCCGUAACUUCGGGAGAAGGCACGCUGGUGUGUAGGUGAAGUCCCUGCGGAUGGAGCUGAGACCAGUCGAAGAUACCAGCUGGCUGCAACUGUUUAUUAAAAACACAGCACUGUGCAAACACGAAAGUGGACGUAUACGGUGUGACGCCUGCCCGGUGCCGGAAGGUUAAUUGAUGGGGUUAUCCGUAAGGAGAAGCUCUUGAUCGAAGCCCCGGUAAACGGCGGCCGUAACUAUAACGGUCCUAAGGUAGCGAAAUUCCUUGUCGGGUAAGUUCCGACCUGCACGAAUGGCGUAAUGAUGGCCAGGCUGUCUCCACCCGAGACUCAGUGAAAUUGAACUCGCUGUGAAGAUGCAGUGUACCCGCGGCAAGACGGAAAGACCCCGUGAACCUUUACUAUAGCUUGACACUGAACAUUGAGCCUUGAUGUGUAGGAUAGGUGGGAGGCUUUGAAGCGUGGACGCCAGUCUGCGUGGAGCCAACCUUGAAAUACCACCCUUUAAUGUUUGAUGUUCUAACGUUGGCCCCUUAUCGGGGUUGCGGACAGUGUCUGGUGGGUAGUUUGACUGGGGCGGUCUCCUCCCAAAGCGUAACGGAGGAGCACGAAGGUUAGCUAAUCCUGGUCGGACAUCAGGAGGUUAGUGCAAUGGCAUAAGCUAGCUUGACUGCGAGCGUGACGGCGCGAGCAGGUGCGAAAGCAGGUCAUAGUGAUCCGGUGGUUCUGAAUGGAAGGGCCAUCGCUCAACGGAUAAAAGGUACUCCGGGGAUAACAGGCUGAUACCGCCCAAGAGUUCAUAUCGACGGCGGUGUUUGGCACCUCGAUGUCGGCUCAUCACAUCCUGGGGCUGAAGUAGGUCCCAAGGGUAUGGCUGUUCGCCAUUUAAAGUGGUACGCGAGCUGGGUUUAGAACGUCGUGAGACAGUUCGGUCCCUAUCUGCCGUGGGCGCUGGAGAAUUGAGGGGGGCUGCUCCUAGUACGAGAGGACCGGAGUGGACGCAUCACUGGUGUUCGGGUUGUCAUGCCAAUGGCACUGCCCGGUAGCUAAAUGCGGAAGAGAUAAGUGCUGAAAGCAUCUAAGCACGAAACUUGCCCCGAGAUGAGUUCUCCCUGAGACUUUAAGUCUCCUGAAGGAACGUUGAAGACGACGACGUUGAUAGGCCGGGUGUGUAAGCGCAGCGAUGCGUUGAGCUAACCGGUACUAAUGAACCGUGAGGCUUAACCUUACAACGCCGAAG
rnacentral:rRNA from 1 species